CUGUAACAAAACUGCAUUUCUUUCUUUCUUUUCUUUCUUUCUUUCCCUUUCUUUCCUUCCUUCCUUCUUUCUUUUUCUUUUCUUUCUUUUUUUUAUCUUGAGACAAAAUCUCGCUCUGUUGCCCAGGCUGGAGUGCAGUGGUGCGAUCUCAGCUCACUGCAAGCUCUGCCUCCCGGGUUCACGGCAUUCUCCUGCCUCAGCCUCCCGAGUAGCUGGGACUACAGGUGCCCACCACCACGCCCAGCUAAUUUUUUGUAUUUUUAGUAGAAAUGGGGUUUCACUCUGUUAGCCAGGAUGGUCUCGAUCUCCUGACCUUGUGAUCCACCCACCUUGGCCUCCCAAAGUGCUGGGAUUACAGGCGUGAGCCAUCGUGCCCGGCCUCUUUUCUUUCUUUUUUAGUUAUUUGAUUUUCAAUCCCACUGACAUGAGUUCAUCAGUUCAUUAUAUUUACUGUCUGUUCCUUUUUUUUCUUUUUUUUUUCUUUUUGAGAUGGAGCCUCGCUCUGUCGCCCGGGCUGGAGUGCAGUGGCACAAUCUCCGCUCACUGCAAGCUCUGUCUCCCGGGUUCACGCCAUUCUCCUGCCUCACCCUCCCGAGUAGCUGGGAUUACAGGCUCCUGCCACCACGCCCGGCUAAUUUUUUUGUAUUUUUUUUUUUUUCAGUAGAGACGGGGUUUUACCACGUUGGCCAGGAUGGUCUCGAUCUCCUGACGUGGUGAUCCGCCUGCCUCGGCCUCCCAAAGUGCUGGGAUUACAGGUGUGAGCCACUGCAACCAGCCUACUGUCUGUUCUUUUCUGUUUUUGUUUGUUUGUUUGUUUGUUUUUGUUUUCUUAGAGACGGAGUCUCACUCUGUCGCCCAGACUAGAGUGCAGUGGCGUGAUCUCGGCUCACUGCAACCUCCGCCUCCCGGGUUCAACCAAUUCUCUGCCUCAGCCUCCCAAGUAGCAGGGAUUAUAGGUGCCCACCACCAUGCCUGGCUCAUUUUUUUGUAUUUUUAGUAGAGAUGGGGUUUCACCAUCUUGGCCAGGCUGGUCUUGAACUCCUGACCUCAUGAUCUACCCGCCUCGGCCUCCCAAAGUGCUGGGAUUACAGG
rnacentral:lncRNA from 1 species